rnacentral:misc_RNA from 1 species
AACCAUAGAAACCUGCGGAGUACCUGCGGAAGGAUCAUUACCGAGUGAGGGCCCUCCGGGUCCAACCUCCCACCCGUGUUUAACGAACCUUGUUGCUUCGGCGGGCCCGCCUCACGGCCGCCGGGGGGCACCCCGCCCCCGGGCCCGCGCCCGCCGAAGACACCUGUGAACGCUGUCUGAAGUUGCAGUCUGAGACACUAGCUCAAUCAGUUAAAACUUUCAACAAUGGAUCUCAGAUCG